rnacentral:rRNA from 1 species
UGGGGAAUAUUGGACAAUGGGCGAAAGCCUGAUCCAGCCAUGCCGCGUGUGUGAAGAAGGUCUUCGGAUUGUAAAGCACUUUAAGUUGGGAGGAAGGGCAGUAAGCGAAUACCUUGCUGUUUUGACGUUACCGACAGAAUAAGCACCGGCUAACUCUGUGCCAGCAGCCGCGGUAAUACAGAGGGUGCAAGCGUUAAUCGGAAUUACUGGGCGUAACGCGCGCGUAGGUGGUUCGUUAAGUUGAAUGUGAAAGCCCCGGGCUCAACCUGGGAACUGCAUCCAAAACUGGCGAGCUAGAGUAGGGCAGAGGGUGGUGGAAUUUCCUGUGUAGCGGUGAAAUGCGUAGAUAUAGGAAGGAUCUCCAGUGGCGAAGGCGACCACCUGGGCUUACACUGACACUGAGGUGCGAAAGCGUGGGGAGCAAACAGG